UACAGAGGGUGCAAGCGUUAAUCGGAAUUACUGGGCGUAAAGCGCGCGUAGGCGGUUUGUUAAGUUGAAUGUGAAAUCCCCGGGCUCAACCUGGGAACUGCAUCCAAAACUGGCAAGCUAGAGUAGGACAGAGGGUGGUGGAAUUCCCGGUGUAGCAGUGAAAUGCGUAGAGAUCGGGAGGAACACCAGUGGCGAAGGCGACUCCCUGGACCAGCACUGACACUGAGGCACGAAAGCGUGGGGAGCAAACAGG
rnacentral:rRNA from 1 species